AGCGAACGCUGGCGGCAGGCCUAACACAUGCAAGUCGAACGGAUCCACCGGGAUUAGUGGCGGAUGGGUGAGUAACACGUCGGAACGUUCACUUUGGUUCGGAACAACUCAGGGAAACUUGAGCUAACGCCGGAUGUGCCCUUCUGGGGAAAGAUUUAUCGCAAUUGGUGCGGCCCGCGUCUGAUUAGCUAGUUGGUGAGGUAACGGCCCACCACGGCGACGAUCAGUAGCUGGUCUGAGAGGAUGAUCAGCCACACUGGGACUGAGACCCGGCCCAGACUCCUACGGGAGGCGGCAGUGGGGAAUCUUGCGCAAUGGGCGAAAGCCUGACGCAGCCAUGCCGCGUGAAUGAUGAAGGUCUUAGGAAUGUAAAAUUCUUUCAGCGGGGACGAUAAUGACGGUACCCGCAGAAGAAGCUCCGGCUAACUUCGUG
rnacentral:rRNA from 1 species